UUCAAUGACGCCAAGAAAUCAAUAUUUGUUUUCUGUUUUUCCACAAACCGAUUUAAUCAACGAGAAACAGACAAGCUUAUUACUUAUUAAGUAACAUAAACGAUUGUUUAUUUUAAUAUAUUUAUGCUAUAUGCCACAUGCGAGCACAUGAACGUUGACGUUGAAGCAGUCGCCGUAGCCGAAACCGGCUGGAUCACAUCAUUAUAUUUGUGCCAUUAUGGAGAUUAGCAUUUUUUUAAGAACGUCUAGGGCCUAGGUCUUUCUUGCUGCUACUUUUCUUCGCCUCUACAGGUUAUGAGAAGCUGCAGUAGUUUUAGGCGGAUGAGACGUUCGUUAUGUAAACAAAUACACAGUUUUAACUAAGUUACCUACUGAAUAAAUAUAUUUUUUUAAUUUGUAACAACUUUGAAAAAAAAAAUUCUUUAAUGUACUACACUGAAAAUUAUAAGGGUAUUAAUGUGUUAAAAAGAAUGGACAAAGUAAAGAAAACAAGGCCUAGGUGAACCAGGACAUAGUGAUUAUAUUCUCUUUGAUCAAGGAUGACAAAAACCCAUGUGAAAACUAUUCUAAAAACAAGAGCAUGUAUGGGACUGAUACAGAUCUAAUGCUCUGUGAUCUCAUCGGAUAGCAUCAACCAUUACCCACCAACAACAUUCUUCUAGCUCGGGCUCUGGUAUCUCUAAAUGGCAAACUAUAAUCAAAAACAGAUUAGUGGGUGCCUUGCCUGCACAAAUAGCUUCUCAUCUGUCCAACUUUCAACGAGCGAUGUCGUUGCAAAUGUUUCAACAUCUGUACUAGAAGAUUUGCUGUAAGUUUAAUACUGAAUAAUUUUUGAUAUUGAUACCAAAAGAUGCGAAUACCUUGUUGACACUUUGGUCUUAUAUUUUACCUGACCAUAACAAUGGACUGACUGUACGGCUUAACUAAAAAACAUAAUUUAUUACUCUUUAUUUUUUAUUGUCUUUUGAAAAGUCAUGAGCAAUAUUUUGUACCCACUUUAGAACCUUGUCGCCCUAUCAUAUUUGACAUUUAAUGAAACUUCGGUUUAAUUUGUCAAAAAAGUUAAUGUGACAUGGUUUCAAAGCAUUUACAU